GACGAACGCUGGCGGCGUGCUUAACACAUGCAAGUCGAACGGAAAGGCUCCAGCUUGCUGGAGUACUCGAGUGGCGAACGGGUGAGUAACACGUGGGUAAUCUGCCCUGCACUCUGGGAUAAGCCUGGGAAACUGGGUCUAAUACUGGAUAUGACCUUUCUCCUUAUGGGGUUUGGUGGAAAGUUUUUCGGUGUAGGAUGAGCCCGCGGCCUAUCAGCUUGUUGGUGGGGUGAUGGCCUACCAAGGCGACGACGGGUAGCCGGCCUGAGAGGGUGAUCGGCCAUAUUGGGACUGAGAUACGGCCCAGACUCCUACGGGAGGCAGCAGUGGGGAAUAUUGCACAAUGGGCGGAAGCCUGAUGCAGCGACGCCGCGUGAGGGAUGACGGCCUUCGGGUUGUAAACCUCUUUCAGCAGGGACGAAGCGUAAGUGACGGUACCUGCAGAAGAAGCACCGGCUAACUAUGU
rnacentral:rRNA from 1 species